UACGGAGGGAGCUAGCGUUGUUCGGAAUUACUGGGCGUAAAGCGCGCGUAGGCGGCUUUGCAAGUUAGAGGUGAAAGCCCGGGGCUUAACCCCGGAAUUGCCUUUAAAACUGCAUCGCUAGAAUUGUGGAGAGGUGAGUGGAAUUCCGAGUGUAGAGGUGAAAUUCGUAGAUAUUCGGAAGAACACCAGUGGCGAAGGCGACUCACUGGACACAUAUUGACGCUGAGGUGCGAAAGCGUGGGGAGCAAACAGG
rnacentral:rRNA from 1 species